GAUGAACGCUGGCGGCGUGCCUAAUACAUGCAAGUCGAGCGAACAGACGAGGAGCUUGCUCCUCUGACGUUAGCGGCGGACGGGUGAGUAACACGUGGAUAACCUACCUAUAAGACUGGGAUAACUUCGGGAAACCGGAGCUAAUACCGGAUAAUAUAUUGAACCGCAUGGUUCAAUAGUGAAAGACGGUUUUGCUGCCACUUAUAGAUGGAUCCGCGCCGCAUUAGCUAGUUGGUAAGGUAACGGCUUACCAAGGCAACGAUGCGUAGCCGACCUGAGAGGGUGAUCGGCCACACUGGAACUGAGACACGGUCCAGACUCCUACGGGAGGCAGCAGUAGGGAAUCUUCCGCAAUGGGCGAAAGCCUGACGGAGCAACGCCGCGUGAGUGUUGAAGGUCUUCGGAUCGUAAAACUCUGUUAUUAGGGAAGAACAAAUGUGUAAGUAACUAUGCACGUCUUGACGGUACCUAAUCAGAAAGCCACGGCUAACUACGUG
rnacentral:rRNA from 1 species